UACGUAGGGACCAAGCGUUGUUCGGAUUUACUGGGCGUAAAGGGCGCGUAGGCGGCUUAACAAGUCACUUGUGAAAUCUCCGGGCUUAACUCGGAACGGCCAAGUGAAACUGUCAAGCUAGAGUGCAGAAGGGGCAAUCGGAAUUCUUGGUGUAGCGGUGAAAUGCGUAGAUAUCAGGAGGAACACCGGUGGCGAAGGCGGGUCUCUGGGCAACAACUGACGCUGAGGAGCGAAAGCGUGGGGAGCGAACAGG
rnacentral:rRNA from 1 species